AUGCAUGUGUGUGUGUUUGUGUGUGUGUGUGUGUAUGUAUGUAUAAACAUACACACACACACACACACACACACACACAUACACACACAUAU
rnacentral:miRNA from 11 species